rnacentral:sRNA from 1 species
GCAAGACCCUGCCAAGAGAAAAAAAAGACUGUGUCUUUUCACAUUCCACCAAUAUACUGAUAGCAUCUGUCUCUCUGCAUUCUCAAUAGCAUCAAAUAUUAUUACAGUGGGGGAAAAACCUUUGAUAAUCUUGUUGGCAAAAAUGCGUAUUUUUUUGAUUACUAGUGAGUUUAUUUAUUUAUUUUUUUUUUAUUUUUCGAGAUGGAGUCUCGCAGUGUCUCCCAGGUUGGAGUGCAGUGGCGCAAUCUCAGCUCACUGCAACCUCCAUCUCCCGGGUUCAAGCGAUUCUCCUGCCUCAGCCUUCUGAGUAGCUGGGACUACAGGCGCGUGCCACCACACCCGGCUAAUUUUUGUAUUUUUAGUAGAGACGGGGUUUCACUGUGUUGGCCAGGCUGGUCUUGAACUCCUGACCUCAUGAUCCUCCUGCCUUGGCCUCCCAAAGUGCUGGGAUUACAGGUGUGAGCCACUGCGACUGGCCAGUGAGUUUAAAUAUUUAAUUAGUCUUGGCACUUUUUUUUUAUUGAGCUCUAUGAGCUUUUUCUGUAGAAGAUAUUAACUGUUGGAGCUUCAUGUUCUCAGGUACCCUAUCUUGAGUCUAUAGUGAACCUUUUGAAGUUGAAAAGAGUAUUUUUGCCUCAAUUAUAAAAUCUGUAUUGUUCCAUAAUCUUAAUUAAGCUGAUAAAACUUGUUUGUGCAUCUUUGUGCUCAUGUGGCAAUAGAUGGGGUUAGGGCUUGGUUUCAGUUUGCCUAGGGUUAAAGGAGGUUCACAUCCUUUGUGUUACUGUCCAGUUUCCCAGCAUGCAGUCAGGUUAGCUCUGUGAGGAGUGCCUGGUCAUCUGUAAUUCAGACAUUAAGGAAGUACCUGGUGUGUGCUAGAAACAGAAUGCAGAGUUCAGGCCAGGGUGAGGAUUUCUGCCCUCAGGAAGAUCACAGCCUUUUGACAAAAGAGGAGGCACCAUUUGCCUAGUGGAAAUCAGCUUCAACAAAAAAAUCACCUGCUUUUCUCUACAAGUCCCCGGAAGAGAUCAGUAGAUAAAAUCCAAAUCCCACACCUGUCCUCCAGAGAGAUGAUUAAUGUUAGUUACUGAGAAGGGAAAUGGAUGAAAGGCGUAUGUGGCACAGGGGUCACCGCAGGAUGCAGAGGUCUUAGGGGGUGUGCCGUGAAAGGCCAGCUCUCUGUCAGAGGCUCUGCUCCUUUGUCGGAGCACGUGCCCUCAAGUCAGCUCCACUGCAGUGUGCGCUGGAACCUGAGAAGUUGCUGAGUAGCCUAGGAGUGGCUCCAAGGAGCCUGGAAAGCAGUCCUUCUUUGAGGACCAUUCAAGGUGGAGUGUGACGUUUUGUCGAUUCUUGAAAGGGAAUUGGGAGGAAAGAGGAGGAAUAAAGGGAUGGGUGUAGGGCUGUGUGUACAGCAUUUUAUGUGUUUUCUGAUUUAUCUUCACAACUUUGAGACAAACUGUCACCCCCAGUUCACAGAUGAUGAAACAGAUUCAGAGUGACAGAAGGACCAAGAGAGUAUUCAAGAUUGAACCCAAAUCUGUCUCUCCCAAAGCCAUGCUCUUCCAGGUCACACCUGUGCCUUGAUCUGUCUUUAUGUCAGGAUCUGUGCAGUGGGGCAUCUGGGUUUGAAUGUUUUUUUAAGUACUAUGAUUGUUGGAUAAAUUGUCAUAUGAGAUAGAAAUAAGGCCAUGCUGCAAAUUUUGAAAAUGUACAGCUUGAUAAAUGGGGGCAAACAUGAUCCAGGGUAAGAAGGGGCAAUUUGGUGACUUCACAAAAGAUACCAUUUAAUGAAAGUUUACUAGUUUUUUGUUUUUCUCUCUCCCAAAACAGGACACUCCUGGGUUUAUUGUGAACCGCCUCCUGGUUCCAUACCUCAUGGAAGCAAUCAGGCUGUAUGAACGAGGUAUCCUUCUGACCUAGGCCAGGAGCAGCAGGCCUCAGCUCCUGGCGCCACUGUCUGGAAUUCUCAGUGUCUCUAGGAGGGGUCGGGCCGUGCACAAUGGAGGAAGCAGUGUCUGUUUUCUAGCUUUGUGAGCUCAGCUGCACCCUGAGCCCUGGUACCUUUUUCACUGUUUUCCCAGGGCCUCCUGGCUUCCCUGUGAGGCCUCUGAGAAAGGUUUCUGGAACUCCCACCACCCCCACUACAGUCCCAGCCAGAGCAAUUGCAUGGCCGGCCCAGAUUGAUAUCCUGGAUCUCUGCUUUUGAUUAAAAGGUGACGCAUCCAAAGAAGACAUUGACACUGCUAUGAAAUUAGGAGCCGGUUACCCCAUGGGCCCAUUUGAGCUUCUAGAUUAUGUCGGACUGGAUACUACGAAGUUCAUCGUGGAUGGGUGGCAUGAAAUGGAUGCAGAGAACCCAUUACAUCAGCCCAGCCCAUCCUUAAAUAAGCUGGUAGCAGAGAACAAGUUCGGCAAGAAGACUGGAGAAGGAUUUUACAAAUACAAGUGAUGUGCAGCUUCUCCGGCUCUGAGAAGAACACCUGAGAGCGCUUUCCAGCCAGUGCCCCGAGUGCCUGUGGGAAUGCUCUUUGGUCAGACAUUCCCUCACACAGCACAGUUUAAUAAAUGUGCAUUUUGAUUGUAAUCUAUCGAAGUGAUUAUUACACCAGUUACAGCAGUAAUAGAUUCUCCAUUAAGAAAUAAUUCCCUUUUUUAGUCUGUUCAUUUCUGUGUAUUUUCUAAACAGCUUUACACCCUUGGUGCCUUGGAGCAAACAUGUUUUUUGAACCUUGUCAUUUUUGUGAAGAAUUGCCUGGAUUCCUUCUCUCAUCAACGGGAAAGUACUUCCUCUGAGAGUGCGAGUGCACCAUGCUCACUGUUGCUGCGUGGGAGAGUCACAAGCCACUGGCAAGCAAGUGGUAUAGUCUGUGAAGCACUGCAGCGAGCAGCACCUGGAUCUUGCCUUUAUGAGAACAUUUUACUACCUGCAGCUUUGAGUCUUGCCCUACAUUUUGGGCAUGACAUAAGAUGUGUCUUUAUUCAGCUCAUCGUGAAGAUGCUGCUGCAGAAUGGGUCAGCAUAUCUCUGUUUGCAUGGUUUGCAGGAGGUCGGUUUUCAUGGUCAUUCAGUUCCACAGAUCUGAAUGAUUACUGUCUGUCUGUGUCUUUUUUCCAUGAGAAAUCACUGUUGCAAAUUGCCUAUAAAUUGACUCUACUAAACUAACAAUGUUUCAGUCUGAAAAUUUGAAUUGAAAAAAAUGUAUAAUAUAAAAUUGUAAUACACUCAAAUGAUUAUAAAAGUAAA